rnacentral:rRNA from 1 species
UUAACCGUAUAGGGGAGCCGAAGGGAAACCGAGUCUUAACUGGGCGUUAAGUUGCAGGGUAUAGACCCGAAACCCGGUGAUCUAGCCAUGGGCAGGUUGAAGGUUGGGUAACACUAACUGGAGGACCGAACCGACUAAUGUUGAAAAAUUAGCGGAUGACUUGUGGCUGGGGGUGAAAGGCCAAUCAAACCGGGAGAUAGCUGGUUCUCCCCGAAAGCUAUUUAGGUAGCGCCUCGUGAACUCAUCUUCGGGGGUAGAGCACUGUUUCGGCUAGGGGGUCAUCCCGACUUACCAACCCGAUGCAAACUGCGAAUACCGAAGAAUGUUAUCACGGGAGACACACGGCGGGUGCUAACGUCCGUCGUGAAGAGGGAAACAACCCAGACCGCCAGCUAAGGUCCCAAAGUCAUGGUUAAGUGGGAAACGAUGUGGGAAGGCCCAGACAGCCAGGAUGUUGGCUUAGAAGCAGCCAUCAUUUAAAGAAAGCGUAAUAGCUCACUGGUCGAGUCGGCCUGCGCGGAAGAUGUAACGGGGCUAAACCAUGCACCGAAGCUGCGGCAGCGACGCUGAUGCGUUGUUGGGUAGGGGAGCGUUCUGUAAGCCUGUGAAGGUGGCCUGUGAGGGUUGCUGGAGGUAUCAGAAGUGCGAAUGCUGACAUAAGUAACGAUAAAGCGGGUGAAAAGCCCGCUCGCCGGAAGACCAAGGGUUCCUGUCCAACGUUAAUCGGGGCAGGGUGAGUCGACCCCUAAGGCGAGGCCGAAAGGCGUAGUCGAUGGGAAACGGGUUAAUAUUCCCGUACUUGGUGUUACUGCGAAGGGGGGACGGAGAAGGCUAUGUUGGCCGGGCGACGGUUGUCCCGGUUUAAGCGUGUAGGCUGGUUUUCCAGGCAAAUCCGGAAAAUCAAGGCUGAGGCGUGAUGACGAGGCACUACGGUGCUGAAGCAACAAAUGCCCUGCUUCCAGGAAAAGCCUCUAAGCAUCAGGUAACAUCAAAUCGUACCCCAAACCGACACAGGUGGUCAGGUAGAGAAUACCAAGGCGCUUGAGAGAACUCGGGUGAAGGAACUAGGCAAAAUGGUGCCGUAACUUCGGGAGAAGGCACGCUGACACGUAGGUGAAGUGAUUUACUCAUGGAGCUGAAGUCAGUCGAAG